rnacentral:rRNA from 1 species
GAUUAUGGCUCAGGAUGAACGCUGGCGGCGUGCCUAACACAUGCAAGUCGAGCGGGAAACUGCGGAAAUAAGCUUCGGCCUAAAUAAGCGGUGGAUAGCGGCGGACGGGUGAGUAACGCGUAGGUAAGCUGCCCCAUGCAGCGGGAUAGCCUAGGGAAACCUGGAUUAAUACCACAUAAUGCGGAGGAGUCACAUGGCGCCAUCGCCAAAGAUUUAUCGGCAUGGGACGCACCUGCGUCUGAUUAGAUAGUUGGUAGGGUAACGGCCUACCAAGUCAACGAUCAGUAGCCGACCUGAGAGGGUAAUCGGCCACAUUGGAACUGAGACACGGUCCAAACUCCUACGGGAGGCAGCAGUGGGGAAUAUUGCACAAUGGGCGCAAGCCUGAAUGCAGCAACGCCGCGUGAGUGAUGAAGGUCUUCGGGUCGUAAAACUCUGUCCUUGGGGACGAAGGAAGUGACGGUACCCAAGGAGGAAGCCCCGGCUAACUACGUGCCAGCAGCAGC